CCCCCACUCCCUUGUGGAAGCAGCACCGACGGCCCUCGUCCUCCGUGAGCGUCCUUAAGUGCCCACUGGGGAAACUGAGGCACAGAAAAAAAAUCCUGGCCGAGGCGACCGGCUCUUUUCCCGUAUCAGAGAGCUCUUCCCAGGAUGACUGCUUGGCCUCCUUUACGUGUCUCCAUGCCUGGAAGCAUUUCCAAGAGCUCCACGAGAUGCUGGAGGACACCCAGCGGACAUGCGGACACCGAUGGGGAGAAGCUGUUCCCCCAAAGGUCACUGCCAUCAACAUGAGGAGAAAUGUCCCAGAAGGAGCUCCAGACACAGCUGACAACACAUUUUGGUGAAAAACUUCAUUUGACAACGGUGAGUGCAGCAACAUUCCUAAAAGAUGAAGCACGCACGGUUUCAUUGGCCAACACUACUCACGGGCUC